GCGACUCAGAAAAAAAUCCUAAAAACUUCUCCAAGAUAACAAUCCUAAAAACUUCUCCAAGAUAACUAUUAUACCUAUACCCUGAUAUCAUCGCUGACCAUGAGAACACGUCCCAGUAUCAACUUAUGAAACAACAAUCUUACAUCUUUCAUGUUCUCUUUCAUUCAUCCUUUGCAUACCGACCAAUCAAUAAUAUGCAUGCCUGACAUAGUAGUUCACUCAGGCAUUUCAUCAAAUAGCC
rnacentral:lncRNA from 1 species